CCGCCCUGGCCGACUGUUUGCCGAGCUCGCACUGUCGCUCCCUGAAGCCAGCAGUGAUUAUACGCGUACGCCAUCAACCAGUCAUAAAAAUGUCAACAAUGAAUGGGGUGGGGUGUAGCAACUUGCGAGUGCCCACCCGCAUUUUUGUGAUCUGUGGCCUCAUCAAUGUGGAACACUAAACAACAAUUCAGAUUGAAUGCGUUCCAGACGGAAUGGGCUCUAUUUGAAAAUCACAGCAAGGCACCAGACCUUUAGUCGAGACUUACCGUAAACGUCUGUGAGAAGAAGG